GACGUAGGGCGCAAGCGUUGUCCGGAUUUAUUGGGCGUAAAGAGCUCGUAGGCGGCUUGUUGCGUCGACCGUGAAAACCCGUGGCUCAACUGCGGGCUUGCGGUCGAUACGGGCGGGCUAGAGUUCGGUAGGGGAGAUCGGAAUUCCUGGUGUAGCGGUGAAAUGCGCAGAUAUCAGGAGGAACACCGGUGGCGAAGGCGGAUCUCUGGGCCUUACCUGACGCUGAGGCGCGAAAGCUAGGGGAGCGAACAGG
rnacentral:rRNA from 1 species